rnacentral:lncRNA from 1 species
GUUGUCCAGUGGCGAGGCCUGAAUGACCGAUUAUCGAUAUUCUCCCAUUUGAAGCUGUGGUAAAGGAUCGAUUUUUGAGGUGUGCGUCGCGAACACCCUGCUUAUCGAUCCUUCUACAUAGAUUUAAAUGACAGAUCAAUCGAUGUAUCGCAAAGCACGCCGUACCAUUGGUGUUUUCCUACUCGCUCUACGCUCUGCCUCUUUGUGUCGAUGACGACCGCUUUAAAUUUCAUAAUUGACAACGCAUGCGAGUCGGACAUAUUUCUUUGUGCCUUCUCUUCUCAUUUGUUUACUCCGACCAGUUCCCAACUUGAGGGUCUGUCGUGUCUUCCGCAUCUUCUAUGCACGUCUUAUCUACCAGUCGGUGAGAUUCAAGCUAGUGAGCCAAUGUAGAAGGAUUAUCACUAUAAUAAAGUACAGUGUUCAACAAACCUAUUUUGAUAACUUUACUUGUGCCCAUUUCUUGCCAAAAGUGCUUCAGCGUUGCUUUUUCAGACGUAUACAUUUUUCAAACGAGUGCGUCGGUAUCGCUUCUUUUUAUUUUCCUAAAAUGAGUAAAACAUGUUUUCAUAAAUGGCUCACACUUGAAGGUUUUCCCUGGCCCUCAGCCUCCCGCCCCUGCCUUCGAACCGGAAAAAAAACGAUGGCUAAAAUUGAAUCUCCUGGAAACCCUGAGAGGCAUUUUUUCUCCUCUAUAAAAUGAUAAUAUUUUCUGCAAUUUUUUCGCGAAGAGAAUCCCUAAAAAAUAGUUCCAUGCACAGCAUUUAACGAGCAAGAAUACCUCUUCAAAAA